ACGCUGGCGGCGUGCCUAAUACAUGCAAGUAGAACGCUGAAGGAGGAGCUUGCUUCUCUGGAUGAGUUGCGAACGGGUGAGUAACGCGUAGGUAACCUGCCUGGUAGCGGGGGAUAACUAUUGGAAACGAUAGCUAAUACCGCAUAAAAUUGCUUAUCGCAUGAUAAUUAAUUGAAAGAUGCAAUUGCAUCACUACCAGAUGGACCUGCGUUGUAUUAGCUAGUUGGUGAGGUAACGGCUCACCAAGGCGACGAUACAUAGCCGACCUGAGAGGGUGAUCGGCCACACUGGGACUGAGACACGGCCCAGACUCCUACGGGAGGCAGCAGUAGGGAAUCUUCGGCAAUGGGGGGAACCCUGACCGAGCAACGCCGCGUGAGUGAAGAAGGUUUUCGGAUCGUAAAGCUCUGUUGUAAGAGAAGAACGGGUGUGAGAGUGGAAAGUUCACACUGUGACGGUAUCUUACCAGAAAGGGACGGCUAACUACGUGCCAGCAGCCGCGGUAAUACGUAGGUCCCGAGCGUUGUCCGGAUUUAUUGGGCGUAAAGCGAGCGCAGGCGGUUAGAUAAGUCUGAAGUUAAAGGCUGUGGCUUAACCAUAGUAUGCUUUGGAAACUGUUUAACUUGAGUGCAGAAGGGGAGAGUGGAAUUCCAUGUGUAGCGGUGAAAUGCGUAGAUAUAUGGAGGAACACCGGUGGCGAAAGCGGCUCUCUGGUCUGUAACUGACGCUGAGGCUCGAAAGCGUGGGGAGCAAACAGGAUUAGAUACCCUGGUAGUCCACGCCGUAAACGAUGAGUGCUAGGUGUUAGACCCUUUCCGGGGUUUAGUGCCGUAGCUAACGCAUUAAGCACUCCGCCUGGGGAGUACGACCGCAAGGUUGAAACUCAAAGGAAUUGACGGGGGCCCGCACAAGCGGU
rnacentral:rRNA from 1 species